rnacentral:rRNA from 1 species
CGGGGUAGAGUAACGCGUGAGGAACCUGCCUCAAAGAGGGGGGACAACAGUUGGAAACGGCUGCUAAUACCGCAUAAGCCCACGGCUCGGCAUCGAGCAGAGGGAAAAGGAGCAAUCCGCUUUGAGAUGGCCUCGCGUCCGAUUAGCUAGUUGGUGAGGUAAUGGCCCACCAAGGCAACGAUCGGUAGCCGGACUGAGAGGUUGAACGGCCACAUUGGGACUGAGACACGGCCCAG